GUUCACCCUGUUGCCGCCAUAACGAGUUUGUUGUUGUUAAGAAAAAGAAAAAGAGAAAAUAAAAUGUAGAGGAUCUACAAAGGUUUGGCUGGAGAUGAUUCGAAAACGCCAGGUCUCUUAGCAGAGAUGUUCACUGGGAGACAGUUCCAUUGUUUUGUUCUGGUUGUGGCAGAGAAGUUGGUGAUCCGGUAGAUAGUUUCUUGUUGUGUAGAGGCGAUGGCAGUGAUGUAGCCGAAAAGAUUCAUCUAUUACUAAAUUUAGAUAGAAAAGAUAGUUCUGGUUGUUUGGUCCAUGCUUGAGUAGAGAUCAGAUCUGAUGUAGAUGAUGUGUAUGAAAUUGUAUUUGUCAAGAGACCUUGCAGAAUGAGAUGCGGCAGAAUAUCUUGUUGGGGAAACAGUAAAGCAAGGUAAAAACAAAGAUGUGUGUGUCAGUUGAUGAUGAUACAGCUCCCUGUGUACAGGCAAAUUGCGUUCAGAAAACCUGGCCUACUGGGCUUAGACAGCUGGAAGCAGAUAUACCGUGUGACAAAUAUUACAUUUUAUGGAGGUAUAAUUGUGAAGCAGGGACGAAAUGUCAAGAAAUGUCCUGUAUGGACAAAAAUGACAACAGGGAGUCAAAAUAAGUAUGCAGCAAUUUAGAAAAUCUUAAAAUGGUAUAGAGCUUAAGCAGACAGGGUUUUAGCCAAGAGCUUAAUAGUUAGAUUUUUAACAGAGUUGAGGCAAACAAAGUUUUAGCAAAGAUAAGACUAAGAGCUGAGGCACACAGAGACUCAGCAAAGAGUUAAUGCAGAUAAAGUUUCAGCAAAGAACUGAGACAGACAGGGUUUCAGCAAAGAGCUGAGGCACACAGUUUCAGCAAAGAGCUGAGGCACACAGAGUUUCAGCAAACAGCUGAGGCACACAGAGUUUCAGCAAAGAGUUGAAGCAGAUAGAGUAUCAGCAAAGAGCUGAGGCAUACAGAGUUUCAGCAAAGAGCUGAGGCACACAGAGUACGUGUUGGCAAAGAGGCAUACAGGCAAGGAACUGUGUUUCAGCAAAGACCAAAGAAAAAGAGGUGAGGCAUGCAACGUCAUUCACUUAAAGGUAAGUUAGCUCAUAAGAUUUAGAUGUGACAUAAAAAGUAAUAAAUUAAAAAAAAAAAACAUUUGUAAGUAUUGCAGUUAUUGAAAAGCCAGGUUUUCUCAAUCAUAAAUGUUAAUUUUACAGUUAAUAACAAAAUAACCUUACCUGUUAAAGGUCCAAUACUAAGGAAAGUGAACAUUUUAAUUUCUUUUAAAAAGCACAGAAACUAUUUCAUUUUAUUGGAAAAUGAAAGUUGGUAUGUAGAAAUUCGAAAUAAAUCGCAGUAUAUGUACAAUUAUUUUUCUAUGAAGUAUGAAGAAAGUUAAAAAAGACCUGGGGGGUCAUUCUGUCGAUUCAUUGAAAUUUCAACAUAAUACACAUACAUUUCUUUGAGUUCCAAAGACCUUCUGUAAAUUUUGACCUGCCAAUCUUCAUUAUUUAGUGUCUUGCAGAAGUCUAUGCACUGGCUAUGAAAAAAAUUGCCAACUCACUUUCCCUUAGUAAUGGACCUU